rfam:Ciona savignyi cont_37971, whole genome shotgun sequence.
GCUUAUCACCAUUCCAGAUUGAAUAUACCCGAUCUCGUCUGAUCUCGGAAGUCAAGCAAUCUCGGGCUUGGUUAGUACUUGGAUGGGUGACCGCUUGGGAA